rnacentral:rRNA from 1 species
UGGGGAAUUUUGGACAAUGGGUGAAAGCCUGAUCCAGCCAUGUCGCGUGAGUGAAGAAGGCCUUCGGGUUGUAAAGCUCUUUUAGUCGGAAAGAAAGAGUUGCAAUGAAUAAUUGUGAUUUAUGACGGUACCGACAGAAAAAGCACCGGCUAACUACGUGCCAGCAGCCGCGGUAAUACGUAGGGUGCGAGCGCUAAUCGGAAUUACUGGGCGGAAAGGGUGCGCAGGCGGUUUUGCAAGUCCGAUGUGAAAGCACCGGGCUUAAACUGGGAAUUGCGUUUGAAACUACAAGGCUAGAGUGCAGCAGAGGGGAGUGGAAUUCCAUGUGUAGCAGUGAAAUGCGUAGAGAUGUGGAAGAACACCGAUGGCGAAGGCAGCUCCCUGGGUUGACACUGACGCUCAUGCACGAAAGCGUGGGGAGCAAACA